GGGGGAAAGACUUAUCCAAUGAAAACCGCUGCCAGGGGGGCAUUUGAACUCCGCCGCUCGCUGUCUCGCUCUCCCCAAUCUGCCCGGUGCACUCUCACCCCUCCGGGCCGGCGCGCUCUCCGGCGCGCUCGCUCGCUCGCUCGUUCGCUCUCUCCCCGCUACCCGACGAGUCCUCAACAAGUUGGAGGAAGGCCGGAACGCAGGGGUUAAGCUCGGAAAGCCUCAAUUACCAAGAUCGUGACCCUCCCACACAGUACAAUAACUUAUAUACUUACCUGGAUGAGCCUCCUGUGCAGCUGGGCAAACACUCGUGGGGGGCAGGGAGGGGCAGGAGGGAGCGGGCCGGUUGGAGACGGACUCCUUCAAGCUGGCUGCAGUGCGGACCGGACCAGCGCGCUCCCGAAGCCUCCUGCCCGAGGUGGUCAAACCUGUCUUAACAGCUGGAGCUCUGCAUGAGGGUGGCCACUGCAGGAGGGGGUCUCAGAGACCACAGGAGCUGAAGAGUCUUUACCGGUGAGCCCUGGAGUCCCAGGUAAGUGCAGAGAUGCCUCAGCCCCCGGCCCCUUGGCCUGGGCAGACGCAAGGGGCCUCCGUACUCUCUCCUCACUUGGUAAUGAGACACAGGGAAGCCAGGGAUCCAGUGCUUGGGGACUGUCCUUGAUGGCUGAGCUUUUGGCAAAGAAAGGCACCCGUGAUAGAGGUCAUAAGGGAGGGCACAGUGCUCCACGAGGCAGACCCUCUCUUCCUGUCUUAUCCCCUAGCAGGACUUUGGCCUGGAAGUUUGGGGACUUCUGAACCCCUAGUACUGAGGGCACAGGCCUCACUCAUUGGGCCCACAGUUCCCUCUGCACCCCUGCUUCCGGGGCUGUUUCAGGCCUCUCUGGGCCCAGAGGUGGUGGAGCCUCGAGAGGUCGUUUGGUGUGCUCGGUUUCUCUGAGGAAACCAAAACGUUGAGUUACGUCUCCUUAACUGGAGUUCAACAUAGGCUAGGUAGGAAGAGUUUGAGGUUAUUGAUUUUUCUUUUGAAGGAUCAGGCAUUAAACUCUAAAUACAUUUACUUUUCCUAUUCACCAGCAAACUCCUUGGCUACAGAGAUUUGUUUAGCUGCUUUCUGAGCCUCAGAGUGAUACUGUGAUUCUUAUUGGGGAAGUCAGUUCAGAGCUUGGCAGAGAAUUUUGAAAGCCCAGGGCUGUGAGCUUUGUGAUGAAGGGAGCAACCGAGCUACCUGGCUAAUCCUUGGAUGCAUGUGAGCAAAACGUAGGAAGCUGCCAGAAGUCUUAGAGGGAGACUUGAGGCUCGUGGCAGAACAGAAGCACGUUAUGUGGAAGACCUGCAGAUCCUUACAAGUGGACCCAUCUGGUAUAUUAAUUAAAUGACUGUGACAUAGGUUUGGUGAAAUGUUUACAUUUUGAGAGUGGAGCUCAGAUAAUAAAUAAAUUAACUGGAAUCCUCUAUCA
rnacentral:lncRNA from 1 species